rnacentral:rRNA from 1 species
AACGAACGCUGGCGGCAUGCCUAACACAUGCAAGUCGAACGAGACCUUCGGGUCUAGUGGCGCACGGGUGCGUAACGCGUGGGAACCUGCCCUUAGGUUCGGAAUAACUCCCCGAAAGGGGUGCUAAUACCGGAUAAUGUCUUCGGACCAAAGAUUUAUCGCCUUUGGAUGGGCCCGCGUUGGAUUAGCUAGUUGGUAGGGUAAAAGCCUACCAAGGCGACGAUCCAUAGCUGGUCUGAGAGGAUGAUCAGCCACACUGGGACUGAGACACGGCCCAGACUCCUACGGGAGGCAGCAGUGGGAAUAUUGGACAAUGGGCGAAAGCCUGAUCCAGCAAUGCCGCGUGAGUGAUGAAGGCCUUAGGGUUGUAAAGCUCUUUUACCCGGGAUGAUAAUGACAGUACCAGGAGAAUAAGCGCCGGCUAACUCCGUG